UUUAGCAUGGAAGUUGACCGGGACAAACGUGAGAUUUAGGUUGCAAAUUUUACAAACAUGAGAACACCUGCCGAUCUUAUGGUGGGCAUUCCAGGACCCUCUGGAUUGUUUCUGGUUUGAGUAGGCAAAAUCAUGAAUGCCGAGAUACAAAUGCAAUUUGGCAAGGCCAUAGCAUCUGGUCUUUAACACCUAUUGAUCGAAUCCAUGUAGCCAUGCCACUGGACUGAACCCUAAUUGGCCAUAAUCUAACUGGUCAUAUUGGGCCAACGCUGCCUCACAGUCGCAUCCUCGUAGGCAUGGUAAAUCGCAAAAUACAACGACGACCAAGUCGACCGCUGCUGCUCUUGGUCGUUUCUCGUUCCCAAGGCAUUUCCAGCUUCCUCCGAACGCGUCGCCUCACAGUUCCCUCUAGCUCGCACCCUGUUUCCACAGCCAGCCAUACUUAACAACUUUGCUCUGUCGUGCUCAGAAGCACUGUGUUCCCGCUGUAACCGCAGUCCAUGGUAUCAUUUCGCCAUGUUUCCUUCCCUUUCUUCCUAUGUCUUCUCUUCCUCAUAUUCCUUUCCCCUCCCACUACCGGCGAUCCCUUUGCCAAACAGUGUGGCAGCACCGGCGACUACACCGCCAACAGCGCCUAUGAGACCAACCUCAACCUCCUCCUCCGUUCCCUCGCCUCCAACACUUCUCUCUCCGGUGGCUUCCUCAACGCCACAGUCGGCCAGAGCCCCGAACAAAUCUACGGCCUCGCAAUGUGCCGCGGCGACGCCAACGCCUCGGUCUGCCGCUCCUGCCUCAGCGACGCAAUCCAAGACGCCCCCCAGCUCUGCGCGUACAACAAAGGCGCCAUCGUAGGCUACGAUGACUGCCUCCUUCGCUACUCCAACCUGCGCUUCUUCUCGACCGUCGACUCCUCGUCUGCGGGGAUGAUCGCUUGGAACGCCAACAACGUGACCGACCGCAGCCGGUUCGACAAGAUUGUGGACGAGCUUAUGAGCGCGAUCACCGAUUGGGCCGUCUCCAACUCGACGAGGAGGUUCGCCACCGGGCUGAUGGUGAAUUCCACCAAGGCUCCUUUUCCCCAGAUAUAUGGGCUGGUGCAGUGCACACAGGACCUGUCGCCGAGCCAGUGCCAGCAGUGCCUCCAAGAUAUCGGCCUUGAGACAAGACCGAUACAGCUAGAGGGGAGGGAGGGAGGGAGGGUGGUCGCAGCGAGCUGCAAUUUUAGGUACGAGAUAUACAAGUUCUUCGACGGGGCACCGUCGCUAAGACUUGAGGAGCCGCCGGAGAACGCACCGGCGCCGGAGAACGCACCGGCUCCGGUAGUGCCUCCACCUACCAAAACACCUGAGGAAGAAGGAAAGAAGAAAAAUGCCAUUCGUAAGGUCCUUGCUAUUGCUAUACCUCUAGUAACUGCAUUCGUGCUGAUCUCCAUAAUUUGCAUUUGCAUCUCGACGAGGAGGAAGCCAAUUGUAAAGUUACCAUUAGAUGGGAGUAGCCCGGAGGAAAUCGUAAGUGUCGAGUCACUAUUACUUGAUAUAUCUACACUACGAUUUGCAACAGCUAACUUCUCUGAAGAGAACAAACUUGGAGAAGGUGGCUUUGGUGCAGUUUUCAAGGGACUACUACCUGAUGGACGAGAAAUAGCAGUGAAGAGGUUAUCAGCUAGUUCAUCACAAGGAGUCAGAGCGCUGAGAAAUGAGCUAGUUUUAGUUGCAAAACUCCAACACAGGAAUCUUGUAAGGCUUCUGGGUAUUUGCUUAGAAGAACAAGAGAAGUUGCUUGUUUAUGAAUAUAUGCCUAACAGAAGCCUGGACACCAUUCUUUUUGAUCCCGAGAAGCGCAAACAGCUAAACUGGGGAAAAAGGAACAAGAUCAUUGGCGGGAUUGCUCGAGGCCUACAGUACCUGCAUGAAGAAUCUCAAUUAAGAAUUAUACAUCGGGAUUUAAAAGCCAGCAAUAUCUUAUUAGAUGCAUAUUUGAACCCAAAGAUUUCAGACUUUGGUUUGGCUAGGCUUUUUGGUGGAGACCAAACUCAGUGCACCACGAACCAAGUUGUUGGAACAUUUGGGUAUAUGCCACCAGAGUAUGUCAUGCAUGGGCAAUUUUCUAUCAAGUCAGAUGUAUACGGCUUUGGUGUUCUGGUUUUAGAGAUCGUGACAGGGAGAAAAAGCAGUGAUUUUUCUAAUUCUGAAUAUGCUGAAUAUAUAGUGAACUAUGUCUGGGAGCGGUGGGUCAAAGGAACAAUUUUGGAGAUAUUGGACCCAUCUUUAGGCAACCAUUGCCCAAGAGGCGAAGUGUUAAGAUGUGUUCAGAUUGGCCUAUUAUGUGUCCAGAAAAAUCCAUCUGAUAGACCCAACAUGUUACAAGUUGUUGUGAUGCUCAGCAGUAUCUCUGUGUCUCUCCCGGCUCCUUCUAUGCCAGCAUUUUGCACUAGAAAGAGUGACAUUGAUUCAAAUGCUUCUUCAAAUGAAGUUGAUUUAUCUGGAGGUACGCAUGACAAAUCUUCAAGGAAGUUAAUACCAGUGUCACCAAAUGAGGUGUCGAUUACAGAACUUGAACCUAGAUAAAUGUAUGAAGGUAUGUCAUGCUUUAAACCGUAGUUGCCAAAACUGGGAGCAGAUGCAGAAAUGGAUACAAGGAAAGGAACUUUAAAAAAAUUGAAGGAAAUACUUAGGAAGUGAGUACCCAUUCGAGUUUCUGGGGAAUUACCCAAUAUGCAUAUUUGCAGCAAUCGGAAGCUAGUGGCUACAUGUAGACGUGAAUUCACCAGCUUCUUCCUCAAUUGAAUGGUCAUCCAAUGCACUCAUUCCAGUUCCACCGGUAAUGGGGAUGCCAAGGCAUAAACUGCUAGACCACCAACGGAACUUCCAAGAUAACCUCGAUCCUUUGCUCUCCUCCUAUCCUUCAACAAAACCUAGGUGAAAUCCUGGACUGGGUCUAUGGCCUUGCUCUCUGUCGAGGCAGUAUCGGCCUCCUAGCGUGUUCAACGUGCCUCAAAACCACAUCUCAGGAUCCCACAUGGAAAAGGUCGCGUUUGAUGAUCACCACCUGUACUACAUGAUCACAAUUUUAUUACAAAAAUUGGAUGAUCCCAAAUAUGUUCGCAAGUGAGGCUGCAGUCAAGCAAAACGAUUAGAUCAGGAACUGGGAAAGAUAAUAAUUGUGAUUUCUUAAUAAGCAGUAAUUGUUUAUGUGUUUCUAUUUUGUCAAAAGUCCUUCUACCGAAAGCAACAAAGAACUCAUCUGGGCAACCCCAGCCAUUUGUAAGUUUGAAUA